UCCUACGGGAGGCAGCAGUGAGGAAUUUUCCGCAAUGGGCGAAAGCCUGACGGAGCAAUGCCGCGUGGAGGAUGAAAGCCUGUGGGUUGUAAACUCCUUUUCUCAGAGAAGAAGUUCUGACGGUAUCUGAGGAAUAAGCAUCGGCUAACUCCGUGCCAGCAGCCGCGGUAAUA
rnacentral:rRNA from 1 species